ACGGGUGAGUAACGCGUAGGAAUCUGCCUUGAAGAUGGGGAUAACCCGAGGAAACUCGGGCUAAUACCGAAUAAUCUCUACGGAGGAAAGCUAGGUAGCAAUAUCUGGCGCUUUAAGAGGAGCCUGCGUCCGAUUAGCUAGUUGGUAGGGUAAAAGCCUACCAAGGCGAUGAUCGGUAGCUGGUCUGAGAGGAUGAUCAGCCACACUGGGACUGAGACACGGCCCAGACUCCUACGGGAGGCAGCAGUGGGGAAUAUUGGACAAUGGGGGCAACCCUGAUCCAGCAAUGCCGCGUGUGUGAAGAAGGCCUUCGGGUUGUAAAGCACUUUAGGUUGGGAAGAAGGUAUGUUGUUUAAGAGAUGAUAUAUUUGACGGUACCAACAGAAUAAGCACCGGCUAACUCUGUGCCAGCAGCCGCGGUAAUACAGAGGGUGCAAGCGUUAAUCGGAGUUACUGGGCGUAAAGGGCGCGUAGGCGGUAUGAUAAGUGAGAUGUGAAAUCCCUGGGCUUAACCUAGGAACUGCAUCUUAUACUGUGAUACUGGAGUACAGUAGAGGGCAGUGGAAUUUCCGGUGU
rnacentral:rRNA from 1 species